AAAAAAAAAAAACGCUGUAAUUAUACGCUGCUGCUAGAUAUAUCACCUGUCAUUCUUUUUUUUUUUUUAAUUAUUUUGAGAAGACCACAGCAAUAAAGAAAUAAUAUUUUAUGAAUAUACUACCACCACCACUUAUUAUCAUAAUUAGUUGCAGGGUGUUGGGUUUAA
rnacentral:ribozyme from 1 species